UACGAAGGGGGCUAGCGUUGUUCGGAAUCAUUGGGCGUAAAGCGCGUGUAGGCGGCUUGGCAAGUCGGUUGUGAAAGCCCGGGGCCCAACCCCGGAAUUGCAUCUGAAACUGCCUAGCUAGAGUCCCGGAGAGGAAGGCAGAAUUCCCGGUGUAGGGGUGAAAUCCGUAGAUAUCGGGAGGAAUACCAGCGGCGAAGGCGGCCUUCUGGACGGUGACUGACGCUGAGACGCGAAAGCGUGGGGAGCAAACAGG
rnacentral:rRNA from 1 species